UUGCAAGUGUGGCAAUAUGUAGUUUGUUGUCAUGGUGACUGUCAGCUGUGCGGCAGUCCCAGCCAAUCACGGUGGGAGACUAUCUAUAAAGGCGGGCGUAGAGCACCUGUCGGCAUCUUGCUUGCCGUAGGCUGGGUCACGUAGCUCCUGUGCGUCUAUUUCCGCUUCUGUGCAGUGAUAGGGCUCACUUGGAUGUUGCUGCUGGCCGCGCACUGCUCAUCGAUACAUAGCCGAUGCCGCCUACUGAACUGUCGCUUUUGUAUAGCGUCCCGUUCCCUGCUCCACGCCACGUUGGCCGGGACUGCCCGAUUGGGUAGCCGACAGUAGCCGACAGUAGCGGCGCAGCGGCGGCCAAUCCACCUAUAAAAACCACUGCUGCUUUGCUUGCACGUUAUUACCGCCUUGCCAGGGCCAGCUCGGACCCGAUCGCUUUGCCGUUCAUUCGGGCUAGCGAUAGUUUGUUCCUUUUCCUGUUGUGUCGCUAUCUCUUUUGUUUAGUUGGUGCCACUACAUAUUAAAGUGUGUAUGUUAUGUUAUGUAAGAGUUUUUGCUGAUUUCUCCUUGUGUUUACUUAUUAUAUUUUUGUUUAUUUAAUUAAUUUCUCUUAUUAUUAUUUUGUUUCCAUUAUGUUUUCUAACUGGUUGCUCUGCGAUCCCCCUCAAUUCAGGUGCUGAGCCUACGGUGGUGGACUGGUGUCCUGGUCACGGUGUCCCUUUUGUAUUGUGUUUGCAUUUGGUUUAUUUUUCAUUUGUUUUACGUGUGGUGUUCCUGGGACCCCUUUUCCUUUGGAUGCAGGUGUUCACAGUAGGUCUCAGCACUGAUUGGAUCUCAGCACCCAAUUUCCCUCCUUAGUGAGUAAUUCUCUAGUUUUAAGAACAGACAUUUUGUAUAAAUAAAAGUAUUUUUGUAUGAUUGAACAGAUCGUCUCUGCCUCAUUGCAUAACGGACCUCAGUGCCUUUCCUUUAUUUGUGCUAGUCCACUUAAAAUAAAUCUCUGGGUGAAAUUCCCAGGGUGGCGUUGUCUGGCAAUAAUUAAUGCUACCGAUACUGCCUUAAGAAAAGGGGCAUCACUCCAUAGCUCGUGCUGCCACACAA
ensembl:lncRNA